CUCUCUCUCUCUCUCUCUCUCUCUCUCUCUCCCUUUCUCUCUUCUCUGAGAGCCCCAUUCUUUCCCCAUUUCUCUAAAGAUUGGAUCUUCUUCCUCUUUUCUUUUCCCUUUUUUUUGAGAAGAUUACCGGAGCCACCGUCGUCGCCGGAGCCGCCACCGCCGUUGGAAAGCCACUCGUCGACGACCGGAGGUGAGAAAGACAACCUUAUUUUCUAUUUUUAUGGAUUUAAGGGAAAGGAAUGUGGGCAUGUUAAUCGGUUUUCAUUUUCCCUGUUUUGGAGAAAAAUUUGUGGGAUUCGGCCGGCCGACGGUGGCCGGCCGGGGUCAAUCCGGCCGAAACGAGUUCGGCCGGAGGUGGCGAAC
rnacentral:lncRNA from 1 species